rnacentral:rRNA from 1 species
CGGAGGAUCCGAGCGUUAUCCGGAUUUAUUGGGUUUAAAGGGUGCGUAGGCGGCCUGUUAAGUCAGGGGUGAAAGACGGUAGCUCAACUAUCGCAGUGCCCUUGAUACUGAUGGGCUUGAAUGUACUAGAGGUAGGCGGAAUGUGACAAGUAGCGGUGAAAUGCAUAGAUAUGUCACAGAACACCAAUUGCGAAGGCAGCUUACUAUGGUAUUAUUGACGCUGAGGCACGAAAGCGUGGGGAUCAAACAGGAUUAGAUACCCUGGUAGUCCACGCCCUAAACGAUGAAUACUCGAUGUUAGCGAUAUACAGUUAGCGUCAAAGCGAGAGCGUUAAGUAUUCCACCUGGGGAGUACGCCCGCAAGGGUG